UACGUAGGGUGCGAGCGUUAAUCGGAAUUACUGGGCGUAAAGUGUGCGCAGGUGGCCGCGCAAGUCGAGUGUGAAAUCCCCGAGCUUAACUUGGGAAUUGCGCUCGAAACUACGUGGCUCGAGUGUGGCAGAGGAAGGUGGAAUUCCACGUGUAGCGGUGAAAUGCGUAGAGAUGUGGAGGAACACCGACGGCGAAGGCAGCCUUCUGGGCCAACACUGACGCUCAUGCACGAAAGCGUGGGGAGCAAACAGG
rnacentral:rRNA from 1 species